rnacentral:rRNA from 1 species
UAGUCUCGCACAGAUGCAUAUCAAUAAGCGGAGGAAAAGAAACUAACAAGGAUUCCCCUAGUAACGGCGAGUGAAGCGGGAAGAGCUCAAAUUUGAAAUCUUAAAGGGUUUCCCUUUACGAAUUGUAGUUUAAAGAAGUGUUUUCUGUUGAGGUUUUGGUAAAAGUUCUCUGGAAUAGGACAUCAUAGAGGGUGAGAAUCCCGUAUUUGACCUUUACUUUCAACUUUGUGAUACACUUUCAAAGAGUCGGAUUGUUUGGGAAUGCAGUCCAAAAUGGGUGGUAAAUUUCAUCUAAAGCUAAAUAUUGGCGAGAGACCGAUAGCGAACAAGUACCGUGAGGGAAAGAUGAAAAGAACUUUGAAAAGAGAGUUAAACAGUACGUGAAAUUGUCAAAAGGGAAGCGUUUGACACCAGUGUUGUUUUUCUGAAAAUCAAUUAAAGAACUGUUUAUGCUAAGUUGUUUAGACUUUAUCAGCUAUCUGCUUAGUUUUGAGCUUUUCUUUAAUGCACUUUUCAGUUAACAAGUCAACAUCAAUUUCUUUUGCUGUAAAAAAGCUUGAGGAAGGUGGCUUGAGAUUCGUCUUAAGUGUUUAUAGCCUCUUGCCUAUGCAGUCGGAGAGAUUGAGGUCUGCAGCGUAGAUCCUUCGGGGCUAAAUGCAUUUGUGCUAAGUUAUAGCAUUUUAUAGACAACUUGUUGACUAUGAUUUGUCUUGUAGCUUACUCGCUUAUGUUAUUUUACCUACGCUUAGGAUGUUGAACUCUAUCACACACAG